rnacentral:lncRNA from 1 species
UCACGCGCCUCGUUUGCUGCCUUCAAGAAAACUGUACGGCUUACAAUAUAUUGCCGGUGGCACCACCAUAAUUAUGGUUAUAACCGCACCGGCGGCCAGUGGCUGAAGCUCCAACUGCUGCUCUGAGGCCUACUUGGUUUGGCAGGGUUUGGCAGGGCAGGGAAAAAGGGGAAUUAACUCCUGAACCGCGUACAGCAGUAUGGAUCCGGAGACGCGCAGUAGCAAGCUACAUUUACCUUAGAAUAUCUUUAAGCUAUUAAAGCUUAAUCACAGUAACAGUACAGUCCCGUAGUUACGAACCAUACUCGUUAACUGUACGAACUCACUUUCUGUUGCGCUAUCACAACCUAGCGUACGACACCAAGACUCCAGGAAUGGAGAUGGCGGCAGGUGGGCCGCAUCUAAGCCACCCAGGUGAAGUGCUUCGGCCAGACACUUUCGUAUCACUAUACCAGUGUUCGGAGUUCAAGACUCUGCUGUCACCAUUCUCGACGUAUGUCUUCGAACUCCGACUUCUCGUGUCUUUUCUCGCGCCUAACGCUGGGCCGUCAAUCGUGGUCGAGACCCUCCUCAUCCACGGCCUUACAUCUAAAGUCUUCCGCUAAAACAGCUAAGGUAAGAGACGGCUGUUACACGCGCUUGCUGUCCACAUGUGGUGUGUCAUGCUUACGUACUCCAGCUUCUACAAGGUCAUGAAUAUCAAUCAGAUCAGCUAACGUCUCAAUGAAGAGUCCAAACAGCUCCGUAGAUAAAGGACACCCUUGCUUCAUUCCUUGCUUAGACUCAAACUCUAGAGGAGAUCUCCUCCCUCUUUCUCAUCCACCUCCUGUACCUUUUCUCAGAGCAUCUAGCAUGAUAUACGUGUAUCUAUAUGCACGUAUAUAUACAUAUACGCAUGCACAUCUUGACUAUUUGACUGUGUGCAUCCCUGCCUCCCCUUUAGCUGUUUCCUGUUUCCCGCCAGGCAGAUGAUGAACAAGCCAAGGCUGCCAAGCAGCUUGCAAACAGUUUCGCUCGCUUAAAUAAUUGCAGGUAUAUAGAGUUAGUGCAUGUUAUCACUCGGGGAAAGACUUGGUCAUGGAUGGGUUUUCCAGUCAUGGAUUUGGUCAUGGAUGCGGUCAUGGAUCCGGCCAUAAUUUGCCAUCAAGUCAUGGAUUUGGUCAUGUAUGUGGUCAUGGAUCCGGUCAUAAUUUGUCAUUAAGUCAUGGAUCCGGUCAUGGAUCAGUUCAUAGUUUGCAUAAGCAAGUGCAGGAUAUGACUGGUUGGGGUCAUGAAAUGCGUGGUCAUGAUGUCAUUUAUGAUGGGAUUUAUGACAGGUCAUGGGACCGCAAUAUGACCGUAUUCAGUCAUGGCUGCACUUUAUGACCCCAUGAGGUCAUAAAGGUGGUCAUGUACCUGCUCAUAAAUAUGCGGAACAUGACCAGGUCAUAUUGUGCAUGGUAUUCCAUGAUGCAACAAUGCAGGCCAUGACCACCCUGGCCCAUGUUUUGCACUCAUUCCAUGAGUCGUACACUGCAUUCCAUGACCACCCUGGCCCAUGUUUUGCUUGGUUUACAUGACGCGUACACUGCAUUCCAUGACCACAUUGGCACAUGUUUUACAUUGUUUACAUGAGUCAUACACUGCACUCCAUGACCACCCCUGGCCCAUGUUUUGCGCACAUCCCAGAAGUUGUUCACUGUGGGCUUAUAAGUCAUGACCAGCAACCCAUCAAUAUGUGGGCUCCAGACUCCAAGUCUGCUAUCGCAAAUAAAUGUAUGUACUCCAACACUCCACACCGUUAAGGUGACAAACCUCAAUGUUUCAGUGGAUCAAUCAGGUAAAUCACCCACCAGUAGCAUCCUAUAAAGUAAGCCAGAUUACCUGCAGCUCAACUACAUUCCUGAACCACAACUGCCUUCCAUUAUCAAUAUCAUAACUAUGAACUUCACUCCUUGCAGGUCUCAAUCCGUAAACCUUCAGGGACUUAAGUGUGUGCCCUGGCAGCUUGUUUCACUGCAGCAAGCUCAGCCCGCAUCUGGUGAGCAGUGAUGGCGGUGCACCACAUGGUUUCAUGGUCAGGCAUCCCAUAUGCACCACCACCAGUGCCACCCGUCGCCAUGGUGUCCCCAUACUCUGCAAUGACAUCGUCAAGUCUCUCGCCAAUCAGGUCCUCCAGGUAGUCACCCUCUGGCUCACAACCAGCUGGCCCCAUAAUUGUUUUGCCAGCAAUCACAGCCGCUUCCGGUGCAGCCAUGGCCAUCUGAGCUGAGACCUGCUAGCAGAACAUCAAGAUGUGAGCAUAUGUAAGACCCAAAAUGCAUGAUACUGGUGCCCUGCGAUGUUCAGGAACCUACAAGCAACUGCAUGACAUGUGCCAUGGAUACAUCCACAAUGACAUGUCAUAAUACAUCAUACCCAUAACCCAUACCCCGCGUACCUGCUGCUGCUUCGGUGGCACCACUGUUCAUCUCACCCAUCAUGACGGCUGGGGCCGUGGCAGGGGUCUGGCAGGAUCCCUGCAAAUGCAGCAUAUGGGCCGAAUUGAUAUAGUCUGUUGGAAUAAUAGUUUAGCAGCUGGAGGGAUGCUCGGGGGGCCCUUCCUCGUCCAUUCACCCGGACAUCCGAAGAGACGGAGGGUUCAGAAAUCACCACCUUUCCAGCGUGCAACCUGAUCAAUCAACUUUAAAAUCAACUCCACAUCUCAGCAGCUAGCUUACCCUCGUUCCCCCGAACUUGGGGAUCUCCCCGGGAAUCCAACCCUGGAUCUUAAACCGCUAAACACAGUAGAGUCAGCCCAGAACUAUUUAACAACAUGUACUUACAGCUGCCUUGGCAUUCACAUAUGCCACUCGGAUGAUCGAUGCCAUGAUUGCCCGCUUCUUCUUUUCAAGGCACGCCUGGCUGAUCCUCCAGUACUCCAAUGCAGACUUGGACAGCACAUCUGCGUGUUAUACAAGGAGUUGUGCAGUUAUGUGGGGUUUCCAAGCAUGCAACUGCAGCUGCAAUAAAUGCCACACUUACAGUUUGUGUGGCAGUACACAAACUCGAUGGCAUCCUUCCACUUANNNNNNNNNNNNNNNNNNNNNNNNNNNNNNNNNNNNNNNNNNNNNNNNNNUCACCCACCAGUAGCAUCCUAUAAAGUAAGCCAGAUUACCUGCAGCUCAACUACAUUCCUGAACCACAACUGCCUUCCAUUAUCAAUAUCAUAACUAUGAACUUCACUCCUUGCAGGUCUCAAUCCGUAAACCUUCAGGGACUUAAGUGUGUGCCCUGGCAGCUUGUUUCACUGCAGCAAGCUCAGCCCGCAUCUGGUGAGCAGUGAUGGCGGUGCACCACAUGGUUUCAUGGUCAGGCAUCCCAUAUGCACCACCACCAGUGCCACCCGUCGCCAUGGUGUCCCCAUACUCUGCAAUGACAUCGUCAAGUCUCUCGCCAAUCAGGUCCUCCAGGUAGUCACCCUCUGGCUCACAACCAGCUGGCCCCAUAAUUGUUUUGCCAGCAAUCACAGCCGCUUCCGGUGCAGCCAUGGCCAUCUGAGCUGAGACCUGCUAGCAGAACAUCAAGAUGUGAGCAUAUGUAAGACCCAAAAUGCAUGAUACUGGUGCCCUGCGAUGUUCAGGAACCUACAAGCAACUGCAUGACAUGUGCCAUGGAUACAUCCACAAUGACAUGUCAUAAUACAUCAUACCCAUAACCCAUACCCCGCGUACCUGCUGCUGCUUCGGUGGCACCACUGUUCAUCUCACCCAUCAUGACGGCUGGGGCCGUGGCAGGGGUCUGGCAGGAUCCCUGCAAAUGCAGCAUAUGGGCCGAAUUGAUAUAGUCUGUUGGAAUAAUAGUUUAGCAGCUGGAGGGAUGCUCGGGGGGCCCUUCCUCGUCCAUUCACCCGGACAUCCGAAGAGACGGAGGGUUCAGAAAUCACCACCUUACCAGCGUGCAACCUGAUCAAUCAACUUUAAAAUCAACUCCACAUCUCAGCAGCUAGCUUACCCUCGUUCCCCCGAACUUGGGGAUCUCCCCGGGAAUCCAACCCAGGAUCUUAAACCGCUAAACACAGUAGAGUCAGCCCAGAACUAUUUAACAACAUGUACUUACAGCUGCCUUGGCAUUCACAUAUGCCACUCGGAUGAUCGAUGCCAUGAUUGCCCGCUUCUUCUUUUCAAGGCACGCCUGGCUGAUCCUCCAGUACUCCAAUGCAGACUUGGACAGCACAUCUGCGUGUUAUACAAGGAGUUGUGCAGUUAUGUGGGGUUUCCAAGCAUGCAACUGCAGCUGCAAUAAAUGCCACACUUACAGUUUGUGUGGCAGUACACAAACUCGAUGGCAUCCUUCCACUUACUCUGUGCAGAAGCCGAUGUACAGUGGUGCCUUGAUGGACAGAGGCAGGUUCGAUGCCUUGAUUGUGGCCUGCAAGCAAGUCAGUGCUUCAUGAGUGUGUAGUGACAAGUUGUGCUGCUGUUAGGGGCCUUACCCGGCAGAACCUCUCAUUGAAGUUGUGUUGGACAACUUCAUCCAUGACUUUAUUAACCUCUGCAACAAAAUCCCGGUCCCAGGCAUCCCGCUGCUUGCGUCCCUCGGCGAGUAUGUCAUCCUUGCUCUUCUUGCUUGAUUUUAAGUUUGCACUUCUCUCUCCUGGGAAGCUGUGGGGUUCCAAGGGAAGAAGGAACAAGGCAAUUCCCAGGUUGUCAUGCUUAUGCUUUUAAGGGCAACAACAGCAGCUUUAAACCAGCCAUCUUGGCAAAAAAGAAAAGAAAAUUCAGUGCAUUUCAGUUAGAAAGGGCUAAGCAGAUUGAAGUCGGCAGCUGGCUGGGAACCACAUUUAAAUGCCAUUGUUGACGGCAGGUCAACGAACACACCUGUUCCCGUGGGAAGCUCCUUCACACCGAAUGUGUCAUAGAAUAUGACAUGUUGCAGAAGACAAUCCUCUGUAAGGGCACCCGCAAGGGCUUUUGAUACUUCGUCGCCAUUGGAGGUGAGGACCGAGUUCAUUAUCAGGGUCCGCUGGGCUGCAAAGUGCUGGAGGUAACCGACAGGCUUCAACGUGACAUUGGCCCGUCUAAUAAGAAGUGCGGAAUGCUGCACCGCCGACAUUCUGCGCAAGCUCGCAGUCAAAGGAAAGUCGAUGACUUUGGCUGUCGUCUGUUUGGUCAAAGAGUAUGAGUAUAUUAAGUAAGAAUUACAUGUAUUUGGCACAGUUAAGUGCCAGACACUGUAAUGCCUUUCCGAUUUGCAGCUCCAUGACAGGUACAACUUGCACUGAUGGAUCCAGGAUUCACACAUGCAAGCGCAAGGGCAUCUUUUACUGUCAUUAUUCGAUCUCAAAAUCUAUGCAAUUCCAUGAGUAUAAUGGAUUUGUGUUCAUACGUGUGGUGUCCGUUGCCUCUCGGACAUCUGAUGUCGGGCUUUGCAGAACCAUUGAUCCCUCCCACAGGCGCCUGUUCCUUCACAUAUGGUACUGAGUAAUGGCUCAAUCUUAUAUCAGUCCGUAUUGGAGCUGCUUUCCGAUCGACACAGCAUUUCAGUGUCAAAACACUGAUUUCCGCCAUCACUCCACAUCAUGCCAUGGCAUGGAUGAUGGCGGAAGUGCUGUGGUGGUUUUGGUAGCGUUCAGUUUUGGUGACGGUGGCAUUGGUGAUGGCGGGGAUGGUGAUGGGAGCCUGGGAUGCUGUUUUGCCAUCCCCAGACUGCGGCCAUGGUGACAUUGAAGCGAAUGCGUCGCCUAGGUUGCGGGGGCCCCCCGUCAUACCCUUAAACACGCCCUCCUAACCAUUCCGCCCCGCCGUGUUUUCCCCCUUUCCCCCCUCGUUUUGCCAUCCCCGGACUGCGGCCAUGGUGACGUUCAAAUGAAUGCGUCGCCUAGNNNNNNNNNNNNNNNNNNNNNNNNNNNNNNNNNNNNNNNNNNNNNNNNNNNNNNNNNNNNNNNNNNNNNNNNNNNNNNNNNNNNNNNNNNNNNNNNNNNNNNNNNNNNNNNNNNNNNNNNNNNNNNNNNNNNNNNNNNNNGCGGCGGGAAAUAGCAACACAGCAGCAGCGGCAGCGACGUUGAAGGGGCUUGGAGGUGCAGUAGCCUAAAUGGCAGGCGUGGCAGCGGCAGGAAAUAGCAACAGCAGCAGGCGCAGCGGCGGCGGGAAUGAGCAACGGAGUAGCAGCAGCAGUGACGGCGGUGGGGUUGGGAGGUGCAGUAGCCUGAAUGGCAGGCACGGCGGCGGGGGGAAAUAGCAACACAGCAGCAGCGGCAGCGACAGUGAAGGGGCUGGGAGGUGCAGUAGCCUAAACGGCAGGCGCGGCAGCGGUGGGAAAUAGCAACAGCAGCAGCACGGCGGCCGCAGGAAUUAGCAACGGAGUAGCAGUGGCCGCGAUGAAGGUGGGGCUGGGAGGUGCAGUAGCCUAAACGGCAGGCAUGGCGGCGGGGGGAAAUAGCAACACAGCAGCAGCGGCAGCGACGGUGUUGGGGCUGGGAGGUGCAGUAGCCUAAACGGCAGGCGCGGCGGCGGCAGGAAUUAGCAACGCAGCAGCAGCAGCAGCGACGGCGGUGGGGUUGGGAGGUGCAGUAGCCUAAACUGCAGGCGUGGCGGCGGCGGGAAAUAGCAACGCAACAGCAGCAGCAGCGACGAAGGUGGGGCUGGGAGGGCCAUUACUCUCAACAGCAGGCGCGGCGGCGGGGGGAAUCAGCAACGCAGCAGCAGCGGCAGCGACGGCGGUGGGGUUGGGAGAUACAUUAGUCUGAACAACAGGNNNNNNNNNNNNNNNNNNNNNNNNNNNNNNNNNNNNNNNNNNNNNNNNNNCGGGGGCCCCCGUCAUGCCGUUAAACACGCCCUCCUAACCAAUCCACCCCGCCGCAUUUUCCCCCUUUCCCCCCUCGUUUUGCCAUCCCCCGACUGCGGCCAUGGUGACGUUCAAAUGAAUGCGUCGCCUAGGUUGCAGGGGGCCCCCGUCAUGCCGUUAAACACGCCCACCUAACCAAUCCACCCCGCCGCAUUUUCCCCCUUUCCCCCCUCGUUUUGCCAUCCCCCGACUGCGGCCAUGGUGACAUUCAAACGAAUGCGUCGCCUAGGUUGCAGGGGCCCCCCGUCAUGCCCUGAAACACACCCUCCUAACCAUUCCACCCCGCCGCGUUUUCCCCCUUUCCCCCUCGUUUUGACAUCCACGGACUGUGGCCAUGGUGACGUUCAAAUGAAUGCGUCGCCUAGGUUGCAGGGGGCCCCCGUCAUACCCUUAAAUCGCCCUCCUAACCAUUCAGCUCCGCCACGUUUUACCCCUUUCCCCCCUCGUUUUGCCAUCCCCCGACUAAGGCCAUGAUGACGUUCAAACGGUGUCAGAAGUAGGCUGGGCAGGGAGGGUGUGCACAUGGGAUGUGCCUGGCAUGCACCUUGAUGGGCCAGCAGCCUUGUACAGGCUGUGCACCCCAUCUGGUAGCGCUGGGUUGACCAGGUGUGCAUGGUGCAGGUGGCGAGCCAGCGCCUCCAUACAGGCGUAUGUUCCUCUGCCCCUGCAUUCUGGCAUCCUGUUGUUGUUGGAGGGGUUGCGCUGUGUGGCUGUAAUGUGUCAGAAGUACAGGCGCGGAGGCGGCGGGAAUAAGCAACGGAGUAGCAGCGGCAGCGACGGCGAAGGGGCUGGGAGGUGCAGUAGCCUAAACGGCAGGCGUGGCAGCGGCGGGAAAUAGCAACAGCAGCAGGCGCGGCGGCGGCGGGAAUUAGCAGCGGAGUAGCAGCGGCAGUGACGAAGGUGGGGCUGGGAGGUGCAGUAGCCUAAACGGCAGGCGCGGCGGCGGCGGGAAAUAGCAACACAGCAGCAGCGGCAGCGAUGGCGAAGGGGCUUGGAGGUGCAGUAGCCUAAAUGGCAGGCGCGGCGGCGGCGGGAAAUAGCAACACAGCAGCAGCGGCAGCGACGGCGAAGGGGCUUGGAGGUGCAGUAGCCUAAAUGGCAGGCGCGGCAGCGGCAGGAAAUAGCAACAGCAGCAGGCGCAGCGGCGGCGGGAAUGAGCAACGGAGUAGCAGCAGCAGUGACGGCGGUGGGGUUGGGAGGUGCAGUAGCCUGAACGGCAGGCACGGCGGCGGGGGGAAAUAGCAACACAGCAGCAGCGGCAGCGACAGUGAAGGGGCUGGGAGGUGCAGUAGCCUAAACGGCAGGCGCGGCAGCGGUGGGAAAUAGCAACAGCAGCAGCACGGCGGCCGCAGGAAUUAGCAACGGAGUAGCAGUGGCCGCGAUGAAGGUGGGGCUGGGAGGUGCAGUAGCCUAAACGGCAGGCGUGAUAGCGGCGGGAAUUAGCAACGGAGUAGCAACGGCAGCGACAGCGGUGGGGUUGGGAGGUGCAGUUGCCUAAACGGCAGGCGUGGCGGCGGCGGGAAUUAGCAACGGAGUAGCAGCGGCAGCGACGAAGGUGGGGCUGGGAGGUGCAAUUGUCUGAACAACAGGCGCGGCGGCGGCGGGAAAUAGCAACAGCAGCAGGCGCGGCGGCGGCGGGAUUAGCAACGGAGUAGCAGCGGCAGCGACGGUGAAGGGGCUGGGAGGUGCAUUAGUCUGAACAACAGGCGCGGCGGCGGCGGGAAAUAGCAACAGCAGCAGGCGCGGCGGCGGCGGGAAUAAGCAACGCAACAGCAGCAGCAGCGACGAAGGUGGGGCUUGGAGGGCCAUUACUCUCAACAGCAGGCGCGGCGGCGGGGGGAAUCAGCAACGCAGCAGCAGCGGCAGCGACGGCGGUGGGGUUGGGAGAUACAUUAGUCUGAACAACAGGCGCGGCGGCGGCGGGAAAUAGCAACAGCAGCAGGUGCGGCGGCGGCGGGAAUUAGCAACGGAGUAGCAGCGGCAGCGACGAAGGUGGGGCUGGGAGGUGCAUUAGUCUGCACAAUAGGCGCGGCGGCGGUGGGAAAUAGCAACAGCAGCAGGUGCGGCGGUGGCGGGAAAUAGCAACGCAGCAGCAGCAGGAUCGACGGCGUUGGGGCUGGGAGGUGCAUUAGCCUGAACAACAGGCGCGGCGGUGGCGGGAAAUAGCAACAGCAGCAGGCGCGGCGGCGGCGGGCAUUAGGAACGGAGUAGCAGCGGCAGCGACGAUGAAGGGGCUGGGAGGUGCAUUAGUCUCGACAGAAGGCGCGGCGGCGGCGGGAACUAGCAACGGAGUAGCAGCGGCGGCGAUGGCAGUGUGGCUGGGAGGUGCAGUAGCCUAAACGGCAGGCGCGGCGGCGGCGGGAAUUAGCAACGCAGCAGCAGCGGCAGUGACGGCGGUGGGGCUGGGAGGUACCAGAUGGUGCCAUUUGCACAGCAAUCACAUAGUGCUAAACGCAGUGACGUUUCUUAUUGGUGCUGCAAAUUGUCCACGUUCACAUAACUUCUGGGCAGCAAGAGGGGAAAAGCCGUACAAUUCCGGACCCUGGUCCGGAAGUGUACAGCAUGGUAUGAAGUUCACAUGGCUGCAAAUUCAAAUCUGGGAAGUUGUUUCGUGGCUACCGAACUUUGUUGAUUGCAUCAUUUAAAUCCUGGCCAGAACCUGCCAUAGAAUAGGAUGCUCUUUUGUCAUGGCGGGACCAAAUGCUUGCUUGCGUAGAAGCAUUAGAAGCUCGACGAUUGAUGCAAACGUGAAUGUUCUGGUACUCCUACACAUUGUGAUCAUUCUUACUGGUCACAUUAGCCAGUUUGCCAUGUCAUUGAAUGCGCUGGAGGUGGCAUCCAAACCACGAAAGAUCAUUUACAGACCGGAUGUUGCUCCGGACUCCUCCCAGCCUUUUAACUGCACCAACUGUGCCAACUGGUUUGGUAGUCGGUCACAUGCAUAUCGGCACCAGUGCAAAGACAGGGGGUGGAGUAUGGCCGCCGCCGCGCCUGCGGUUAAGACUAAUGCACCUCCCACAUGUUUUAGCUAGUUACAUCAACAAUGCUGUGCUGUNNNNNNNNNNNNNNNNNNNNNNNNNNNNNNNNNNNNNNNNNNNNNNNNNNCGGAGUAGCAGCGGCAGCGACGAAGGUGGGGCUGGGAGGUGCAUUAGUCUGCACAAUAGGCGCGGCGGCGGUGGGAAAUAGCAACAGCAGCAGGUGCGGCGGUGGCGGGAAAUAGCAACGCAGCAGCAGCAGGAUCGACGGCGUUGGGGCUGGGAGGUGCAUUAGCCUGAACAACAGGCGCGGCGGUGGCGGGAAAUAGCAACAGCAGCAGGCGCGGCGGCGGCGGGCAUUAGGAACGGAGUAGCAGCGGCAGCGACGAUGAAGGGGCUGGGAGGUGCAUUAGUCUCGACAGAAGGCGCGGCGGCGGCGGGAACUAGCAACGGAGUAGCAGCGGCGGCGAUGGCAGUGUGGCUGGGAGGUGCAGUAGCCUAAACGGCAGGCGCGGCGGCGGCGGGAAUUAGCAACGCAGCAGCAGCGGCAGUGACGGCGGUGGGGCUGGGAGGUACCAGAUGGUGCCAUUUGCACAGCAAUCACAUAGUGCUAAACGCAGUGACGUUUCUUAUUGGUGCUGCAAAUUGUCCACGUUCACAUAACUUCUGGGCAGCAAGAGGGGAAAAGCCGUACAAUUCCGGACCCUGGUCCGGAAGUGUACAGCAUGGUAUGAAGUUCACAUGGCUGCAAAUUCAAAUCUGGGAAGUUGUUUCGUGGCUACCGAACUUUGUUGAUUGCAUCAUUUAAAUCCUGGCCAGAACCUGCCAUAGAAUAGGAUGCUCUUUUGUCAUGGCGGGACCAAAUGCUUGCUUGCGUAGAAGCAUUAGAAGCUCGACGAUUGAUGCAAACGUGAAUGUUCUGGUACUCCUACACAUUGUGAUCAUUCUUACUGGUCACAUUAGCCAGUUUGCCAUGUCAUUGAAUGCGCUGGAGGUGGCAUCCAAACCACGAAAGAUCAUUUACAGACCGGAUGUUGCUCCGGACUCCUCCCAGCCUUUUAACUGCACCAACUGUGCCAACUGGUUUGGUAGUCGGUCACAUGCAUAUCGGCACCAGUGCAAAGACAGGGGGUGGAGUAUGGCCGCCGCCGCGCCUGCGGUUAAGACUAAUGCACCUCCCACAUGUUUUAGCUAGUUACAUCAACAAUGCUGUGCCUGUGGGACGGUGCGAGCUGGUGACUUAACUUGUCAUGCUUGAACACAGCAGGAGAGAAUCUUUGCUAAUUAAACCUUAAAUACAUGCCUUAAGUAUGUAACAUAUGGCUUCAAAUUAACAACAGGGUGUAAGGGAGCUGACCGAGUAAGGCUUGGCAACAGGCCAAAAGGAAGUUGCCCUGCUAGCUGGCAUAUACUGAUCUUUUGCGUUGGAUAAGUGCAGCUAAGCCUAAGGGCUUUGUUUACGGCCGCGCCUGAAUGCAUAUCAAGUCACUGCAAGUGGCUGAAACGAAGGUAAUUCAAGUGCACUCCAGAAUCCCGGCAGGGAUGCUGUAUAGUACAUUAGCAACGGAGUAGCAGCGGUAAUAUACUAUGCAGCAUUUCGGAAGGGAUUCCGGAGUCCAUAUGGCAUAUAAUUGUCAUUUUUUAGAAAGGAACAAAACAUGAACACAUAGCCAGCAUAUGACCAUUGGGAACAUGACUGAAUUUCAACAUAUGAGUGGCGAUUCAUGAUCAGUCAUGCUGCACAAGGAGCAUGACAACUGUCAUGACCAUGACUCUGCCUCAUGACCGGUAACAUGACCGGUCAUGAGGCCUCAUGAGUGGUCAUGAGGCAACAUGACCAGAUCUAUGACAGGAAACCCCCCGCAUGACCACAUCCAUGACCAAGUCGUUCCCCGAGCAUAUAUGCUAUGCUAUGCUAUGCUAUGCUAUGCUAUGCUAUGCUAUGCUAUGCUAUGCUAUGCUAUGCUAUGCUAUGCUAUGCUAUGCUAUGCUAUGCUAUGCUAUGCUAUGCUAUGCUAUGCUAUGCUAUGCUAUGCUAUGCUAUGCUAUGCUAUGCUAUGCUAUGCUAUGCUAUGCUAUGCUAUGCUAUGCUAUGCUAUGUUAUGUAUGCUUUGCUGCGCUAUGCUAUGCUAUGCUAUGCUAUGCUAUGCAAUCUGUAAGCAUAUGCCGUCCGCAAGCAUAUGUGGUCUGCAAGCAUAUGCAGUCUGCAAGCAUAUGCAGUCUGCAAGCAUAUGCAAUCUGCAAGCAUAUGCCGUCUGCAGGCAUAUGCAGUCUGCAAGCAUAUGCAAUCUGUAUGCUUUGCUGCGCUGCACUAUGCUAUGCUAUGCUAUGCUAUGCAAUCUGCAAGCAUAUGCCGUCUGCAAGCAUAUGCAGUCUGCAAGCAUAUGCAAUCUGCAAGCAUAUGCAGUCUGCAGGCAUAUGCAGUCUGCAAGCAUAUGCANNNNNNNNNNNNNNNNNNNNNNNNNNNNNNNNNNNNNNNNNNNNNNNNNNAGGCCAAAAGGAAGUUGCCCUGCUAGCUGGCAUAUACUGAUCUUUUGCGUUGGAUAAGUGCAGCUAAGCCUAAGGGCUUUGUUUACGGCCGCGCCUGAAUGCAUAUCAAGUCACUGCAAGUGGCUGAAACGAAGGUAAUUCAAGUGCACUCCAGAAUCCCGGCAGGGAUGCUGUAUAGUACAUUGUGCACAUUGUUAUAGAGGUAAUAUACUAUGCAGCAUUUCGGAAGGGAUUCCGGAGUCCAUAUGGCAUAUAAUUGUCAUUUUUUAGAAAGGAACAAAACAUGAACACAUAGCCAGCAUAUGACCAUUGGGAACAUGACUGAAUUUCAACAUAUGAGUGGCGAUUCAUGAUCAGUCAUGCUGCACAAGGAGCAUGACAACUGUCAUGACCAUGACUCUGCCUCAUGACCGGUAACAUGACCGGUCAUGAGGCCUCAUGAGUGGUCAUGAGGCAACAUGACCAGAUCUAUGACAGGAAACCCCCCGCAUGACCACAUCCAUGACCAAGUCGUUCCCCGAGUGUAUUAGUUGCCAACAAUGGUGGCUAAUCCGACUGCGGCCACAAAGGGCAGGUCUGUCACCACCAAUGCUGCUUCACUGUUGAACUCCAGCCAGACCCCCAGCACUGAUCGGCUGAGGAAGUCCGGGGAGCUCAGCCCCGCACGUGAGGCUGCUACCGAGGAGCUGACUGUGAAGUUAGUCAUGCCGGGGCAGGUGUACGUUGGAGAGGUGUCCUUGGAGGCCUCAAAGAUAGGCACGACUACUGUAGCCUGGGGCAUGCAAGGAGUGAUAAAUCAUAUACAUAUAUAUGUCAAUAGACUUGUUGCAUUCAGGGAAGGAAGUUGGUAUUCGAACAAUAUACAGAGGCAGGUGGUUGGCAAAGAUUAAGCCCUGACUUCUGCUACCGGCUGACCUGGGUUCAAAUCCGCCUGCUGGCUCC